GCCCUCCUGUGGCGCAAUGGGUCAGUUCGGCUGGCUAUCAACCUGAAGGCUGGUGGUUCUAGCCCACCCGGGGAUG